GGGCUGGUAGUUCAGUGGUAUGAAUGCCUGGCUUGCAUCCAGGAGGUCGGGGGUUCAAAUCCCCCCCAGUCCACCA
rnacentral:tRNA from 2 species